GUCCACGCCCUAAACGAUGUCAACUGGUUGUUGGGAGGGUUUCUUCUCAGUAACGUAGCUAACGCGUGAAGUUGACCGCCUGGGGAGUACGGCCGCAAGGUUGAAACUCAAAGGAAUUGACGGGACCCGCACAAGCGGUGGAUGAUGUGGUUUAAUUCGACGCAACGCGAAAACCUUACCUACCCUUGACAUGCCUGGAAUCCUGCAGAGAUGCAGAAGUGCUCGAAAGAGAACCAGGACACAGGUGCUGCAUGGCCGUCGU
rnacentral:rRNA from 1 species